AAAAAGUGACGUCGGAAGCCUUAGUGUGCUAACGCAACGUUUUUAAAAGCAUUGUCGGAGGCCUAAUCAUCUUUGGCCUAAUAUCUCUCGAAGACGACGUUUUACAAAGUGUCAUCGGAAGCCUAAUCAUCUUCGGGCUAUUUGUUUCUUAAAAAACGAUGUUUUUAAUAAACAUUGUCGGAGGCCUAACGGGAACUAAGACGAUGCUUUCUAAAGCAUUGUCGGAGAACAACAGUAAAUCCCCCUCCCUCCAAUCCCAAUCCUCUCUCUCUCUC
rnacentral:lncRNA from 1 species